rnacentral:sRNA from 1 species
AGCCUAAACCAAUCGGGGCAACCUGAUUAGCAUGGCAUCAAAUACCGACGAAGAUACUGAACCCAUCGUUCAGGCUCCUUCGUCGGUCCAUACCCGAAAGGGUGUGGGAGAGUGAAAGCUCUC